rfam:Gossypium arboreum cultivar AKA8401 contig_62758_1, whole genome shotgun sequence.
AACCCAUGAUGAGGGCACCUUCUCAACAAAUCUUUGUAUCUCUCCCAUGCAUCAUAAUGCGUUUCUAGAUCCAUCUGCAUAAAAGAAGAGAUAUCACUACGUAAUUU